GGAAGUGACAUGGUUUUGGAGGGAAACAACAGUACUAGCCGCGGGAGGUGUGUGGGGGCCAUGCGGGAUUAAAUUAGGCACACAGGGGCUUAUGGGAACCGAAGGACAGCGCAGGCACUGAUACCACACAGCUCACCUGAGCGAGCGUGUCCUUGAGAGAUAGGAGUCUGUAAUCCCUGUGCCUCCGCUGGGAACGCCGGGAAUGCGCCGUGAAUUCAUGCAUCAGGCUUAAGGUCACACUCGCUCACUCCAGUCAAUGCUGGAUUUGCUGUAUGUGCAUCUACAUACACAAGUGAAGUGACUGACAGAACUAGCCUUCCUGUGCUCCCCUGGGCGAGGAGGAAACUUUGGGGCCGAAGCGAUUGCUGCCGUUUGAAGCCGCCGGGCCCUCAUUCCCAUCGCCGGGCUUCAAAGACGAUCUGGCCACAGAUGCACCGUUAACCUGGAGAUUUAAACAAGGAAGCAGAAGCGUCAGAAAACCGUCCGUGUCUCUUUCAGACGCGACACCUGAGCAGAAGGUCACCAAGCAGAUGAACUGAAGAGGCAGGCCGUCCUCAUCCCAGCAUCUCUCCAUCACCGCCUGUCGAUUCUACCUAUAUUGUGUCCCACUUCAUAAUGGCUUCCAAGAGUAUUCAUUUGCUGAAGAGUCUCACAUACCUGGGAUUCGUGAGAGCGUCACUUCAGAUUCACUCUUUCUUCGGCACUCAUUCUGCACUUUAUUACACUGAAACGCUUCUGACCCUGGCUAUAAUUCCCAUUCUAUUUCAAGGAGAGCAUUGCAAUAAAGCACAAAUAUGGGGGGGAGUGAAAUCCAGUGGGGUCCUGGAUUGUGAAUGUCAGAGCGAGCAAACAGAGGGGGAUGGGCUGGAGAGAAGAAAGAGAAAAACCGCAAGAACAGAGAAAGGGAGAGCGUGUGAUGGCUUACUGUGAAUAUUUUCACGCCUCUUGUGUUCUAUCUGUGUUAUCACAGCGUUUGACUCGCCUCUUGACGUGUCAGUCUCGACUUCAAAAGAAUCCAGGCACCAGCCUUUCACCCCCCACUAUAUAUGCUUCGGAAUCGCUUCUGGGAUUGAAUUAGGGCAAAUCCAUUAUACAGUUGCCAUGGAGACCAAGGCACAAAUGCUGAUAA